rnacentral:rRNA from 1 species
UGCCAGCCGCCGCGGUAAUACGGAGGGUCCGAGCGUUAUCCGGAAUCAUUGGGUUUAAAGGGUCCGUAGGCGGAUAAUUAAGUCAAGGGUGAAAGUCUGCAGCUCAACUGCAGGACUGCCCUUGAUACUGGUUAUCUUGAAUCGUUGUGAAGUGGCUAGAAUAUGUCAUGUAGCGGUGAAAUGCUUAGAUAUGACAUAGAACACCGAUAGCGAAGGCAGCUCACUAAGUCAUCAUUGACGCUGAGAGACGAAAGCUAGGGUAGCAAAUGGGAUUAGAUA